rnacentral:rRNA from 1 species
CAGCCGCCGCGGUAAUACGUAGGUGGCAAGCGUUGUCCGGAAUUAUUGGGCGUAAAGGGCUCGCAGGCGGUUUCUUAAGUCUGAUGUGAAAGCCCCCGGCUCAACUGGGGAGGGUCAUUGGAAACUGGGAAACUUGAGUGCAGAAGAGGAGAGUGGAAUUCCACGUGUAGCGGUGAAAUGCGUAGAGAUGUGGAGGGACACCAGUGGCGAAGGCGACUCUCUGGUCUGUAACUGACGCUGAGGAGCGAAAGCGUGGGGAGCGAACAGGAUUAGAUACCCCCGUAGUCCCUGUCUCUUAUAC